rnacentral:lncRNA from 1 species
GCUGCAGAGACCCCGCCUGGCCCGCGGGCCGCGCCCGGGAAGGGACCCUGGCUCCCCAAAUCAAAGCGAGCUGUAAGGCAUCUUUAAAAAGCUCAGACAGAAGCGUUCGACGGAGACCCUCAGUCCUUGCUGGACAAGCCACUGCCACUUGAAGUUUUAAGGAAUGGUUGAAGGGCGCACAGAGGAACAUUUGGUUAUACAAAAGGAUUGAUUUUUACGAGAAGCUUCAAACGACGCCCCGGAAAGUGGGACAAGAUUAUCUGUAAAUCAGAUAAGAAGGAUUCUGAAAGUAAAAGAUACCUUAGUCGCUUACAUCAGAUGUAUUCCACCUCGCUCGCCAACGUGGAGUUCUGCAGGAGGUAAGUCUCUUUCUAACACAUACGUGGGUGCUUAUUUUACACGCCUUUUGCACAAUCACAUCCAUGGUGUUUUCACAGAGAUAUGAAAGGAUUGUCACUACACAAUAUGGUACCAACACUGUUUUCCAGGAAAAGAAGCAUCAUAACAUCUAAUCAAUAAGAAUCUGUUGUUGUUGUUUAGUCAUUAAGUUGUGUCCGAUUCUUGCAGCCCCAUGGACUGUAGCCCUCCAGGCUUCUCUGUCCAUGGGAUUUCCCAGCAAGAAUACUGGAGUGGAGUAACUAGCAUAAUGUAAAUCUGAAAAGUAAG